GACAUGAUGAUAGAGGUAAGUUUUUCCUUAACUUAAGCCAAUUUUUUUCCCCCAAUAAUAACACAUUCAAGAAUAGCAGUGAUAAUGGAACCCUACCAAUAAGAUGACAGAGAAACAAGUAUAUUACGUUAAGGAGUUCUCCCAAGUACUCAGGAAGAAAAGUGGAAUCUACAAGCUUUCAAAUAGCAUAUCCAAAGUACAGCAGACAGGGAACACUAGAUUGUGAUACUUCUCUUUCCCCCGCAUUUCCCCUGAGCUGCAGACUCAAAUAACCAGUUACCUUCUCAACCUCUCCACAUGGCUAUGGAAUAGUAUUUUCAACAAAACUUACGUCCUCCUCCACCCACACACCUUGAUCCUCCCCAGGCCUUCCCUCCAUGCCUCCCGCCAUUUGCACCAUUAUUCGUUUAGUUCAAUCAAAAAUCCUAGGAUUUUUUCUGUUACCUCCGAGCUUCUUCUCCCCCUACCCAAUAUAUUAGCAAGUUUUUCUGGUUCAACCUCCAUAAUAUAUUAACUAUCUAUCUCCACUAUCAUGUAGUCCAAGCCACCGUCAUCUCCCACCUGGAUCUUUGUAAAAAUCUGAGACAAAUCUUACCCCUUAUAGUUCAUUCCUCACACAGCAGACACAGGAAUGUUUUUAAAAAUGUAAGUUCAACCAUCUUACCACGUCUACUUUUCUAAAUUUUUUUUUUCUAAAAUUUGAAGUCUUGCAGUGGUCUUUAACGGACAUCCAUGAUCUUAGUCCUUCAUACUUAUCUGACCUCAUUUCCUACCUCUCUUGUUCUUGCUCACUGUGCUCCAGCUAUACUGACCUUUCUGUUCUUCUAACAAACCACGUUUGUUCUCUCCAUGCCUCACCCCACACCUCAGAGCCUUGCUAUACUUGCUGUUCCCCCUGCCUGGAAUAUAUUCCACCAGGACUCUGCUGGAUUGGCUCCUAAUUCUUCCGACUAGAUGUAAGCUCCAUAAGGGCAAGGACCUUCUCUGUCUUGUUCCGUUUGUUAUCCCCAGCAACUAGGCCUAGAACUAUGCCUGGAAAGUGUAAGUGCUUGAUAAAUAAUUGUUGGAAAGUUUUGGAUAAAGAAAUGAAUGCUGAUAAAAUAUGCUCGUGUAUCAUAUAUGCUUGGAGAAUAAUAAGGUACAUCAAAGGCCUUAAGAAAUCCUGCAGUAAAACCAAAUGAAACCCUGUAUAACUUGGCUUAAUACUGUUACCAAACUUAUUUGUUUGAAACUUUUUUUUUUUCUUCUAAGUAACACCCAUUAAGAGUCCAUGGAAAUAUUAUUAGAACUCACACUGGGAAAUGCUGUUUUAGGUCAACUCAACUCAUAAACCCAUUGCCAUCGAGUGGACUCUGACUCAUAGUGACCCUGUAGGACAGAGUAAAACUGACCCAUUAGGUUUCCAAGGAGCAGAUGGUGGAUUUGAACUGCUGACCUUUUGGUUAGCACCCUGAGCUCUUAACCACUUCAUCAGCAGGGCCCCAAUGGGUCAACCCUACAGCAGCCACCUACUUACAACCAGGUGUUAGGGACUCCCCACCCCCAAUCUCCACCACAAAGAACCAAUGUUCUUAAUGUUAUCCCACUUCUGGUGCCUAGCAAGGUGCCUGAUACGUUGUUGGUGCUCAAGAAGUGAUGAAGUGCUUCUUUUUACUGUUGUUCUACAAUAAAAUAGGGGCAAUGAGGUGACAGUAUAUGUAGACGUCAAAGAACAAUUAUUAGCUAUCUAGUUCAGGAACAAAACUGUUGGGUCCUGUUGCCAAGUCCUUGACUUUGUCCUUUCUCUUCAGAUUUACAACAUUAAAACAGUAACAACACCACCAAAAAAUCCCAAAACUGUAUUAAUUUAUUUUUAUGUGGUGCUAAACUUGGUGCCUUAUCAAGUAGUAAAAAUGUGAUACUCUUCCCUGAAAAAAAAAUUAAGUAUAGAUAUAUGUAUUGGAAGAAUAGUGUUUUGAGGAGCACAUUUUGGGAAAUGCUAUUGUAAACAUAAGGCUAAGAAAACAAGCAAAUCUAGUUAGUAUUUCACAUGUUGGAGAUAAAUGCAACUCUUAAGGAACUCAACCAUUAAGCAAAUAUUUGAGUGCUUACUAGUUUGAAUCAAUGGAAGUGAAACAGUUACGGAUGCUGAGAUAAGAAAUUCUGACUUAAUGGUGUUAUUGAGAGGGCACUGUCAAACUAAUGGUGGAUUAAGAGAUUUUUCUACCCAUUUUAAGGAUUUAUUUUAUGGCAAAUGAAAGAAGAUAAAGUAUGGGUCAAAAGUCAAAGUAACAGUGAUAGAAAAUGCUCUUUAUUGAAAUAAACUUAAUCUGUUAUUUUUCUCCAUCCUCUCUGAUUUGGCUUCUGACCUGAUGUAAUAUGUGCCAGGAAUUGCCAAGGCACCGUGAGUAGAAAAACAAAUGAAGCACAGUCUUUGCCAUCAAGGAAUUCAAUGACUAAUGGAAGAGAGAGGCAUGAAAAUAUAAGUGCUCCGCUAGUAGGAAGUCACCUAUCAAUCUCAUGGGGACACUGAAGUAGCAGUGUGAAGAGGUCCACAUAGUAAGGAACCGAGGCCUCCUCCAUAGUCAACCAGCAACUGAGGCCUUCUGCCAAAGCUGUGUGAGUGAACCAUCUUGGAUAUGGACACGCCAAGCCUUCAGAUGACUACAGUCCAGGCUGAUGUCCUGACUACAAUGAUGUGAGAGAACAUUAUCCAGACUCAUCCAGUUAAGCCACUCCCAAACUCAUGCCCCACAGAAACAAUGAGAUAGUAGAUAUUUGUUGUUAAAAUCUACUAAGUUGUGGGCAAUUUGUCACUCACCAAUAGGUAACUAAUAUAGAUUUUGGUACCUGGAAAACUGUGCUACUUAAAAAAAAAAAGACGUAAAAUGUAACGGGGCAGUGGGUAGAAGCUGAAAGAACUUUGAGGAAGAUGUAUAUGAAAGCUUUAGGAUCCUUGAAGAAACUUCACAGAAGCAUGGCGGCUUCUGAGGAGGGCUUUUAUUGAGACACUUAUUGGAGAAAAUCCUUUUGGAAAAAAAAAGGGGAUCUUCAUUGUAUAGUAGCAGACAUUUAGCAAUACAGUUGCUUGCGGUAAUGUAUAAAGUAGAAAAUAUGUCUAAUGAACUGGGUGAUCCAGCUAAAUAUAUUUCUAGGCAUAGCAUUGAAGAUGCAUCCUGGUUUCUUCUUGCAGCUUAUACUAAAAUAUAAGGAGACUUGAGCUGAAGUAAGGAAUGUUGAACAAAAAGGAGCCAGGACUUGUGGGGUUUGGAAAUUCCCAGCUGCUCCAGAUGGCAAUUGAUACUAAAACUAACAAACGUCUUCCAGGCAAAGGUUAAACCCAGCGCACUUCCAGAAAAACAUGGUCUAAAGAUGAAUCCGAGGUCAUGGCUAUAAAAUCCAGUGUUAAGACCUCAGAGAGACUGAAGACGGUGCCUCCGAGAACCAUCCAAAAAAUAGGGUUUCUAAGAAGCUUAAGGAUGAUAUCCUUCCUCAGUCUCAGCAGAAACCCAAAGUAGAUUUGUUGGUGUGGCUUUUGUCCAAUGGAGUGAACCUCAAUAAGAUUUAUAGGAGACUCACAAAAAAAUUUUUUUUAAGAAUUAUAUUGGCAGAAAUAUCACCAGCUUGUAUUGAAGGGAACCACAAUAACACAAAAUCAAAAGAGGCCUCUGGACCACAAAUCCUACUGGCAGGAAGCAGGCUACAAAAACUACGCAGCUGAAAACAUGGGCUAUCUUUUACGGAAAAUGAAAGAUGAGUCAAACGGUAGAAGAAAGAACUCAAGGGAAAAACCAAGAGCCAUGGAGAAUCACCCCAUAAAUUAGUUAGAUGAGGAAAACAAGGCUCAGAAGAUAAAUUAAUUACCAACACUCCUGAGCUGCUUGGUGUCAUGGUCAUAAGAAGAAGCCUCUUGACUUUCCACUAUACCAAACUGUCCCCUUCUGCAUCAAUGUGUAACAACUGUGGCUGCAUUAAGAUCCUCGGACUCAGCACUGUGUGCUGCUGUUGGGCUUUGUGCCCUUCCUGCGCGCGCGUUCGCAUCAGCCGAAGCAUGUGACCAUCUGUGAUGAAUGGUCCUUGUAUCUACCAGGCUUCCUCAUUUCAUUCUCUUGCUCAAUCACACAUCUCUUGACUACCCACUAUGUGCCCAUCUCUGUAAACUCCUUAUGUGUCUUACUCAUUUUUAACAUCCUGUGUACCCUGGCCCUGUCAGUGGCAUAUGGGAGGAAACGGAACCCUGUUUAUUGAGGGGGUAUUAAUGCAGCCAGAUGCAGCACUGUCCAAGACGGAAUCUGCCUCGAAACAAAUGUUAAGAUUUACAUGAGUGAUUUUAUCAUACAUUGAGACGAACUUUUGUUUACAUCAGAUUAUAUUUCUGAAAUUACAAUUUAAAGUAAGUGGGAAUAUACAACUAAUAUACUUUUGUUUUUUUACUAAACAUUACAUUUUUGGCAAUGUAUUGAAUAAAAUCAGAACAAGUUGAAAUAUUUUUACUUGUGUUUUCAGAGAUCUCUGGAGAAAUUAGCCAGCUUUUAACUUUAAUAAAUAUACUAUUCUUAGUAUGGCAUUAAACAAUAUUCUCUGGCAAAUUCCAAGACAGAAAACCAGAUUUACAUACAAUACAAAGAGUAGAAUAAUGAUUUGUUUCUCAAAACGCUUUUUUAUUUUGCAGAAGGAUUUAUUACAGGAUAACUUCAAGUAAUCAGCUUUUCAAGUGCAUUUUAAGUCAUAUUCAAGUUUUAAAAAGGACAUUUUCAUCCAACUGUACAGGAACACUACUCUUGCGACAAGUGAGUUGAACUUCAGAAAUGUUCCCAUAGCUGGAAGUUUCAACUCUAUUAACACAUAAGAUCUGUCUCAUGAUUAUUGCGUGAACAUUAUAUGAAAGGAAACCCUGGUGGCGUAGUGGUUAAGUGCUAUGGUAGCUAACCAAAGGGUCAGCAGUUUGAAUCCGCCAGGCGCUCCUUGGAAACUCUACGGGGCAGUUCUACCCUGUCCUGUAGGGUCGCUAUGAGUCGGAAUUGGCUUGAUGACACUGGGUUUGGUUUUUUUGGUUUAUAAUAUGAAAUGAGUCACAUUGUGUCAAUACUGAAUACCUGAUAUCAGUACCAGAAAUCUUUUGUUUAUACUACCUUAAAAAUUGUACUUCUACGUGCUUUAAGGCACCCUGGUGGUGCAGUGGUUAAGUGCUUGGCUGCUAACUAAAAGGUCGACAGUUUGAACCCACCAACCUCUCUGUGGGAGAAAAGACCUGGUGAUCUGCUCCCGUGGAGAUUACAGCCUAGGAAACCUAGGGUUGCUAUGAGUCAGAAUCCACUCUGGCACACAGCAACAACACAACAUGCUUUAAACUGAAUGGGUAGAAUAAUUAAAAAACACACUUCAUUGGAAACUUACACAUGUGCACACACAGACACAGACACACACAACAUGAAACACAUAGGACUUACAGGCCCAGGUUUGUAAGUCACUUUCAGUCCUGUGCUGGGUGGGGGCUGUUUCACUCUAAACCUAACAGGCAAAAAGAUGGGAAUAAAUUAAUGCCGUAAUGAAAAACAUAAGCAGUGAAUGAACUGGCAAGCUGUAAAAUCAGAAAGGUGUUAAUAUUCACUACACAGGAGCAAGGGGUCCAUAUCAUUAGGAAAAACAGCUUACUAUUCAAUUGGGAAAAGAAUCUUGGGCCCAUUUCACAACUACCUUUUCAACAGUUUUCAUCAGAGUAAAACUGACUCCAACGUGAGUCUUGAUGCUUUGUUACUGGCUGCUGACGAAUGGCUUGGGCCUGGGCAGAGUGUUGUGAGUGUUUGGCUGGUGUGUGCAUUUCAGCGUAGCAGUCAGCGUGAACACAAAUAUUGGCUGCCAGACCAUUAAGCUGAAGAAUAAAGGCUUCUUUGGAAAGCAGUGGAGCAUGGGAGCCAGCCUUGGUAUGGGGUUUGCAUGUUUAGGGAGAGGAGAAACAGAAAGAGCUCAGAAAACAUUGAGGAACUUGAAAAGCUCUGCGCUCACACAUGGUGCCUAUUGCUCUCUUUCCUUUCCUGUGGUUUGUGGGUUCUGCCUGAAGGUUAAAGACCUGGAGUGAAUUAAAAUGCCAAGGAAAGCCUACCUCCACUCUGACCCUCAGCCCCACUCCCUCUGCCAUGAACUUUGCUGCUCUGCCCUGUAGUGACUGAAUUUAAUGAGUUGUGCAGUGAUAUCUCUAAAACUAACCAUCUACACUGGGUAGAUAGGAUCUGCCUGGAUGGGUUUUAUUGGUAUGAGGUUCACUGUCUAUUUCUCCCACCCACUUUGUUGGCAACAACCUGAAAAAUCAACAAUGUCUGAUCUAGUGGCCUAAGUCCUUCAUCAGGUCUGUUUCUGAGACAGCAAACAUUAUUCCUGAAGUUGGGGGGGUUCUUCCUGAAGUGGGGCAGUGAUCUUUUAAAUUGAAUGCACCCAUAGUUUUGCUCCAUUUAAUUUUCAAUUCUGAAUCCAGGAUCAAAAUCUUGAAGAAUGUGCCACUUACACUGAGAAUAACUCUGCAAUUGAAAUAAACAUUUAUUCUAUUUUUAUGACAAAAAUAAAACAAAAUCCUACAUGAUGCUUAGGGUUUAAUUCACAAUAGGACAGGGAGAGAUACUGUAAUUGGGAAUGGUCAUGACUAUAGAUACAAGGUAAGAUUGACCUGAGGGAAAGGACUGAAAUCUCACACAAAAAUGGUGACCACACUUGUGAUAAUAGAGAUGCCUCAGUGUAGUGGAGAUAGCAAUGAACUGGUGCUUCCAAGACCUUGUAUCUACCCUCUCUUUGGCCUCUACAAGAGCUUAAAACAAAAUACUCAAUUUCUCCCAUUGGAAUAGUCUCUAAGGCCUCUGAUCUUGAUCUGGAAAUUAGGGAUUUACUGUUUUUUUCUUGUCAUUGAAUGCCAGAUAUAGUAUAUUUUCAACUGACAGCAUGGACUGUGAGUGUGGGUAUUUGUGAUUAUUUCUACGUCAGAUCUUCAUAGCUUUGUUAUGUUUUUAGGUGCUGUUGAGUGGGUUCCGACUCAUAGUGACCCUAUGUACAACAGAAUGAAACACUGCCCAGUCCUGUGCCAUCCUCGCAAUCAUUGCUAUGUUGGAGUCCACUGGUGUAGCCAUCUCGUUGAGGGUCUUCCUCUUUUUUGCUGACCCUCUAUUUUACCAAGCAUGAUGUCCUUCUCCAGGGAUUGGUCCUUCCUGAUAACAUGUUCAUCUUUAUAAGCUAAAUUGAUCUUAAUGGCUCUGCCUCAAUUAUGCAGAAAUAAUGUAAUUGAAAGCACUUUUGAGAUUCUAAAGUGCAAACAAAUGUCAGCUAGCAUUAUGAUAGCUUGUAAUAGAUUUGAGAAACAGACUUUCAAGUUUUAUGCUUUAGUUAUUAUUUUCCCCUUCAUUUUUUGCUAGCACAGAUCAGGCCUUGAGUUGCUUUUACCAAAGUAUGAACAAUGAUUAACGGGAGGGCAAAGAAGUAACUAUAACUACCACAUAAUUGUGGUUUGAUAAAUAUCAAUUUGUUGAAGACUGAAUGAAUGGAUAAAUUAGUGAGUAAAGGAUUGAAGAGUAUGAAGAUUUAAGAUUCAAGGCGUGAUUAUAGUUCAGUUCAGUAAACAUUCACUGAUUUAGGCAGCCAAAGGCAAGUCCCAUAGAGCAGGGGGAGGUAACCUGAGCAGAAUUUGGGGGCCUUGGCCUCACCUGCAGAAGUCCACUCCAACAUUCUUGAGCUUUACGAUGGUUGCAUAGGUGUGUCCUUCCUUAAGAACUCCAAAGUUUACUGAUGAUGGGAGGAGAUGGAAUCCAAAAGGGGAUGAAUUUACAUUAUGAAUGGCGGCAGAUGCAACAGAGGAUGUGUUCACUUUUCCUCCAACAGAAUCAUGUGCCUUCGCAUUUAGGAAAAAUUAAUAAAAUAAACUGGUUUUACUUUGGGUUCCCAGAUAAGUAAAAGUCCUUGUCACCAAAGGAAAAUACCUGCCUGGCUGGGGGAGGGAAUGAACAUUUAUGGUCUCGUAUAAUCCUUACAACGGCCUUAUAAGGACGGUAUUUUAGGCUCUGUUUUAAGGAUACAAAAGCUCAGGUGGUAAGUGGCAGAGUAAAGCUUCAAACUCAAAUUUGCCUGAUUCUAAAGUCUGUGCUCUUUCCUUUAUGCCAGUGGUUACCAAGCUUUAGCUCUCAUCAGGAUCACCUGGAGGGCUUGUUAAAACACAGAUUGCUGCACCCCUCUGAGUUUCUCAUACAUUAGGUCUGGGCUAGGGUCACAAUUAGCAUUUAUAACAAGUUCUCUGGUGCUGGUGCAGUUGCUGCUGGCCAGGUAGUCACACUUUGAGAAACAUUGCUGUACACCCUUGUCAUUCCCCACAUCAGCAGCACUGAUGUCACCUGGAAAUUUGUCAGAAAUGCGGAAUCUCAGUCCCAACCCCAGACCUACCGAACCAAAACCCAUAUUUUAACAAGACCCCCAGAUAAUCCAUAUGCACGUUAGUUUGAGAAGCACUUCUAUCACGUAUCAGCUAUAUACACUGCAAUAAAUCUUUGACAGCAAUGGACACUGUGACAUGAAAUCAUCAAAUAAUAAUUAUUAAAAUAUAACUCUUCGGCUCAUGGAAGGGUUCCCAACAGAGCUGAGACAGAAUCUUAAAAGCUCUAAGGAAGGAAGGAAGGAAGGAGCUUGGUUCUUUUGAAGACCUAAGGGAAACCCAUGGUGGCUGAAGUACAGUGAGUAUGGGACAAGCAAAAGGAGCCAUGUCAUGUGAGCCUUGUAGUUAUGGUAAGCCAUUUGGAUUUUAUUCUAAGAGUCAUGAAAAGGGUGGCCAGUGAGCUCUCUACCAAAUAGUGUGCUGGUAAACUGGCUGUCUGAAAAGAAGAAACUUGAUUUGCAACAAAAAAACCAAAACCAAACCCACUGCCGUGGCGGCGAUUCCGACUCAGUGUCUGCCAGUUUCUGUGGUGUUAGUACUCCCAGCAUGGCUGAUGUCAAGCUACCAAUGUUUUAACAACUGGCUCAUAAAAUUUCUCUCAUGAGGCUGUAUGAACUGGGCUCCAGCACACCCUUAGCUUGUCUCUGUGUGACUUAAAGUCCUUCGUGGUGAGAUGGUAGGCACAGUGAACAGCAGUACCCAGUGGCUGGAAAUAAACAACUUCAAUGAGUCGAGAUUAUAGAAAAUGUCGAUUAGCUCUGGAAACUUUGUUUCUAUGUCUGUUUUACCUUUGGGAGAGGAUGAGAUUUGGGCUUGGAACUCAGCAAAUAAUGAGGCAACUUCACUUUAUUUUUCCUUACUUGUCCCAUAACAUUCUGCAGCAAUGACUGGGUUGGAAUUUUCACGGGCACGUAACAUUCUGGUUCUGUUAGAGAAAAAAUUUAAAUUAUACCAAAUUGGUAUUUUAUUCCAAGACAUUUGAGGCAAUACCAGAAAUACCAGAGUAUUUAAGAACAUAAACCAACUUGGGAAGCCUUUUUUUAAAAGAGCUUAUUUAAAAAAACAAAGGCUUUUAUUAAUUAUAAUU